AUACUUACCUGGCAGGGGAGACACCAUGAUCAAGAAGGCGGUUCACCCAGGGCGAGGCUUGUCCAUUGCACUCCGGCCAUGCUGACCCUGCGAAUUCCCCAAAUGCGGGAAUCUCGACUGCAUAAUUUAGUGUGGGGACUGCGUUCGCGCUCUCCCUGA
rnacentral:snRNA from 1 species